rnacentral:lncRNA from 1 species
CGUAGCCCCAGGAGCCGCAAGGGCUCCCGCAGCCGUAGCUCCUGCGGUAGGUGUACGCCGUCCCGUAGUUGCAGGGCGAGUAGCACACGUCGUCGCACUGGUUCUGGUAGUAGUAGGUCAUCUUGGUGCGGUGGAGGGCGCGAGCCUGAAACACAGCAACGGGAGAUAGGCUGAGGUCUGCCCCAGAGGCCGAGCUGCAGCUUGCUCAAUCUAGCAAACCCCACGUAAGCAUGGGAAAGAGGGAGAAGGGGGAACCAGGAAAUGACCUAACAUCUCAUUUCUAGGCUACACCUGGGCUGUUUUUCCUUAAUCUUGCCCAGGUCACUCCUUUGUAUGUUUCUCACUUUUUUCCCUCCCUAAUAAUAUUUCGUGUUUCUUUUCUUGCUGCUACUGCCUGGAAUUUAAAGUCCAUUUUAAGAGAGAAUUUUAGGAUAUUGGUAGGAUUAGAUUCCCAGUGAGGAUUUGACUGUUUCCUCCCGUAUCAGUAUCUGAGGUUUCUCUGAAGACCGUAAGUGACUAGACACUAGUUAGUGAAUAAAUACAGUCAGCUGUUGCUGUCAAGAGACGAUAUGAGAGAGGAAAUGCUGCUCUUGUGGAAGGCAGCAGUGCUCUGCUGACUGCAAACAGCAAGUUUGCUUGGAUCUGGGUCUGUGCCUUAAGUGCUAAUGGAACAUGUAAGAACUGUCAGAGCAGGCUCGCGCCCUCCACCGCACCAAGAUGACCUACUACUACCAGAACCAGUGCGACGACGUGUGCUACUCGCCCUGCAACUACGGGACGGCGUACACCUACCGCAGGAGCUACGGCUGCGGGGGCCCCUUCCGGCCCCCGGGGGCGGGGGGGGGGGGACUGCUACGGCUCUGGCUCCCGCUACUGCUACCCCUACUCUUCUUGCUACACCCCCAGAUACAGCUUUGGUGGCUGCUACCCCUGCUAAACCCAGAGAGUUUUAAUGGGAAAUGAGGUUUGAGAAUUAAUUACUAGCUUCAAGGAUGCUGUUACAGGGAUGGUUUGCAGAAGCUCUGAGUCCAGAGCCACAGCUGAGAGCUGCAGCGUUUUGGGGAACUUGGUGUUUCUGUGAAACUUCUUGCUCAGUGUACUUCCAAAAUCUUGUUUUGUCUUGUUUUUUCCAUAGUGGCGGCUUUGCUCUAUGCAGCUCUGACAGUAUACUGGAAGCAGGGCUUAACAUGAGUAUGAACAGCUUGUAAACUCAUUUAUAGCUCUUUCACGUUUAAUGCUAAUGACAUCUAGUCUGCGUAUGUGCGAUCAUUUCUGUAGGACUGACUGUGUUUCUGACUUUACUGCUGUUGAAGAUAGGCAAAAGAAAAAUGAAUUGCCUACUCUGUUCUGUUUUGUUGGGUUCAAAGCAAAUGGGAAAAGUUUGAAAAUGGAAAUAGAUAGUCAAGUGCUACUGCUGUAGCAGCAAAAAUGGCUUCAUCCAAAACAAAGUGAAUUUUCUGCUGAUCUAAAAUUAAAUUGCUGUAUGUAUUCUUUCUGCUUCUGCUUUCUGUAUCAUUUUGGAUUGUGAGCUUCAUUAUCUUCAUUAUUAUUAAAAAUGUUACAGCAUCACCAUGUCUCUGAUUUUUCUUUCACUGUUCAGUGUUUCAUUUUUCUUAAUGCUUUGAUUUAUUGAGUCAAAAGUGGCCUCUGGCUUGAAUGUACUUGGAUUUUUCUUUUGUUUUUGGGUCCCCUGAAAACAGGCCUUUAACUCUGUCUUUGAAUUGCAGUGUGUACGUGGACAUUGGAUGUAACAGCUACUACCACCACAUCUCAGUGGUUAUAAAUACACAGGUUGUCCAUAGACAAACCCAGUUUACCCAGAGGAUAAGCCAAGAAAUCUGGAGGAAACCCCUUCUUCUCAAAUGCUCUUUGUGCUGAGAGUAUCUGAGAUGUUCUCUUGGUUUAGAGACUGGAUCUGUUACAAAACAGAAAAUUGCAC